UGUGAUCUCCACCCGGUGGCUCCCGGCCGGUUCGAGCCUGACUUCACUUCCCCGAUGUCAGGAACGGCCCGGAAGGGAACCUCCGUGUGGAGCAGGGAAAGG
rfam:Tessaracoccus flavescens strain SST-39T, complete genome.